UAGCUAGUUGGUGGGGUAAGGGCCUACCAAGGCGACGAUCGGUAGCUGGUCUGAGAGGAUGGCCAGCCACACUGGAACUGAGACACGGUCCAGACUCCUACGGGAGGCAGCAGUGGGGAAUAUUGGACAAUGGGGGCAACCCUGAUCCAGCAAUGCCGCGUGUGUGAAGAAGGCCUGAGGGUUGUAAAGCACUUUCAGUGGGGAGGAGGGUAUUUAGGUUAAGAGCUAGGAUACUGGACGUUACCCACAGAAGAAGCACCGGCUAACUCCGUGCCAGCAGCCGCGGUAAUACGGAGGGUGCGAGCGUUAAUCGGAAUUACUGGGCGUAAAGGGUGCGUAGGUGGUUAUUUAAGUUAUGUGUAAAAUCCCUGGGCUUAACCUGGGCAGGUCAUAUAAAACUGGGUAACUCGAGUAUGGGAGAGGGUAGUGGAAUUUCCGGUGUAGCGGUGAAAUGCGUAGAGAUCGGAAGGAACACCAGUGGCGAAGGCGGCUACCUGGCCUAAUACUGACACUGAGGCACGAAAGCGUGGGGAGCAAACAGGAUUAGAUACUCUGGUAGUCCACGCUGUAAACGAUGUCAACUAGCUGUUGGAUAUAUGAAUAUAUUUAGUGGCGC
rnacentral:rRNA from 1 species